rnacentral:rRNA from 1 species
AUCAAUGGCCAGUCGCGGUGUCGCGUUCCGACUGUGGCACACCUGUCUUCACGGUUGAGUUUACCCACGCGCUUAAGGUCCCUCAAUAGACGUAUCGUUGGGCGCUAAUGCUCAUUCGGCGGGUCUUUACUGCUCUUCGCCGUCUAAGAGAUAGCGUGUCGAUAUCGUUGUUUGACUUGUUGGACUGCUGGGUAUAAUUCUCCGGGUAUUCAUAGGUAGUGUGUUGUUCACUGUCUCGGUCGUCGCCCGCCAGUGUCUUGAGGUCUGCGCCUUUCCCUGCGUACUCACGUGCAAUGGGGGGCCUUACUUCUGUCAUUCUCACAAGCCUCCGUCCGUGACACGCCUCCUCGCUCUCGUACACGGAACCACAAAUGCCUCGUUGCGUGUGGCUGGGAGUCUGUGCGUUUUCACGGCAGCACUCUGUUCGUGCGCGGAGAGCAAUCUCACGUGGCGUCAGGGUUUCCUGUUCGUCGUCAUACCACACUCCCGUUAAAGGCCCGCGCAUCCGAGCGCAUAUCACGGUCACUUGUCACCCUGAGUAAAUCAGAGUGCUCAAAGCAGUCGUAAAGGGCCUAUGGCCCUGUGAGUCCUACACAGGACUGGCUUGGUUUUGCAUGGUAUGUCGGAACACGACGUCGAGCGCUGGCUAAGAGGAGUGUUUGCAUUGCGCGCGCGGGAUUCUUCUCGCGUGCCGCCGUGCGCUCACAUUGAACGGUGGUACAAGCCAGCCUCGACGUAAUGAUUAAAAGGGACGGUCGAGGGCAUUGGUAUUGCGAGGCGAGAGGUGAAAUUCUAUGACCCCCGCAAGACCUCCUGAAGCGAAAGCGUCUGCCAAGGACGUUUUCAUUAAUCAUGAACGAAAGUUAGAGGAUCGAAGGCGAUCAGAUACCGCCCUAGUUCUGACCCUAAACGAUGCCAACCAUCAAUCCGCGCGUAGCACCCUCUUUAGCGGGCUCGGCGGGCAGCUCCUACUCACGGGAAACCAGAGUC